UACGGGGGGGGCAAGCGUUGUUCGGAAUUACUGGGCGUAAAGGGCUCGUAGGCGGCCAACUAAGUCAGACGUGAAAUCCCUCGGCUUAACCGGGGAACUGCGUCUGAUACUGGAUGGCUUGAGAUUGGGAGAGGGAUGCGGAAUUCCAGGUGUAGCGGUGAAAUGCGUAGAUAUCGGGAGGAACACCAGUGGCGAAGGCGGCGACCUGGGCCAAUACUGACGCUGAGGUGCGAAAGCGUGGGGAGCAAACAGG
rnacentral:rRNA from 1 species